AUAAGAGGAGGUAAAGUCGUACCACGUCUCAGAGGUGACCCUGCGGAGGAUCAUUA
rnacentral:rRNA from 1 species